ACCCCCUUCCAGUAUCCAGUAGUGGGUAUUCAGUUCCUUACUCUUGUGUGUUGGUCCUUUACUGUGAGAAAAUUAGAGUGUUCAAAGCAGGCGUUUGCUUGAAUAGAUUAGCAUGGAAUAAUAAUUGAAGGCUUUCGUGUUCGAUUUGAUUGGUUUGUUCAUGGAAGCAAGGUUAAAAGGAACAGUUGGGGGUAUUCAUAUUCACUAGUUAGAGGUGAAAUUCUCGGAUUUAUGGAAGAUGAACAAGUGCGAAAGCAUUUACCAAGGAUGUUUUCAUU
rnacentral:rRNA from 1 species